CGCCUCUUGCAUUCUAUGUAUAAGAGGUCCCGCCUGCCCUGUGACUAUAUGUUUAACGGCCGCGGUAUUUUGACCGUGCAAAGGUAGCGCAAUCACUUGUCUUUUAAAUAAAGACCUGUAUGAAUGGCAUGACGAGGGCUUAACUGUCUCCUUCUCCCGGUCAAUGAAAUUGAUCUCCCCGUGCAGAAGCGGGGAUAUUAUUAUAAGACGAGAAGACCCUGUGGAGCUUUAAAUGAUGAGAGAUUUUAUGCAACAAACCUAAAAAGGUAUAAGCGAAUUUAUACUCCCUCUAAUAUUUUUGGUUGGGGCGACCGCGGAGUAAAAAGAAACCUCCGUGAGGAAUGAGGUAUUUAACCUUAAAUCCCAGAACGACAAUUCAAAGAAACAAAAUUUUUGACCUAAAGAUCCGGCAAAGCCGAUCAACGAACCUAGUUACCCCAGGGAUAACAGCGCAAUCCCCUUCAAGAGUCCCUAUCGACAAGGGGGUUUACGACCUCGAUGUUGGAUCAGGAUAUCCUAAUGGUGUAGCCGCUAUUAAGGGUUCGU
rnacentral:rRNA from 1 species